AUUGAACGCUGGCGGCAUGCUUUACACAUGCAAGUCGAACGGUAACAGGCCUUCGGGUGCUGACGAGUGGCGAACGGGUGAGUAAUGCAUCGGAACGUGCCCAAUCGUGGGGGAUAACGUAGCGAAAGUUACGCUAAUACCGCAUAAGCCCUGAGGGGGAAAGCAGGGGAUCGCAAGACCUUGCGCGAAUGGAGCGGCCGAUGUCAGAUUAGCUAGUUGGUGGGGUAAAGGCCUACCAAGGCGACGAUCUGCAGCGGGUCUGAGAGGAUGAUCCGCCACACUGGGACUGAGACACGGCCCAGACUCCUACGGGAGGCAGCAGUGGGGAAUUUUGGGACAAUGGGCGCAAGCCUGAUCCAGCCAUGCCGCGUGCGGGACGAAGGCCUCGGUGUAA
rnacentral:rRNA from 1 species